AAACCUGCCUCAUGGACUGGGACAACUAUUGGAAACGAUAGCUAAUACCGGAUAACAGUAUUUCUCGCAUGAGAGAUAUUUAAAAGUUGGUUAUGCUAACACUAUGAGAUGGCUUUGCGGUGCAUUAGCUAGUUGGUGGGGUAAAGGCCUACCAAGGCGACGAUGCAUAGCCGACCUGAGAGGGUGAUCGGCCACACUGGGACUGAGACACGGCCCAG
rnacentral:rRNA from 1 species